UACGAAGGGGGCAAGCGUUGUUCGGAAUUACUGGGCGUAAAGCGCGCGCAGGCGGCUAUCCAAGUCAGUGGUGAAAGCCCGGAGCUCAACUCCGGAACUGCCAUUGAAACUGUUUAGCUUGAGGACGAGAGAGGUGAGUGGAAUUCCCAGUGUAGAGGUGAAAUUCGUAGAUAUUGGGAAGAACACCGGUGGCGAAGGCGGCUCACUGGCUCGUUUCUGACGCUCAGGCGCGACAGCGUGGGGAUCAAACAGG
rnacentral:rRNA from 1 species